AUUCCAAAGCAUUUUUAAAUAAUAUCUUCUUACUCUCAUUCUUUACAGUGGGUGGGAUUUUGGGAUAUCGUCAUUUAAAAUACAAAGGUUCAUACAAUACUGGUGAAGAACUGCGGACAAAAGAAGAGUUAUUGCUAAAUCAAAGUGUUUAAACUCAAGGGCAAACAAUCGGACGGCUCCUUUGCUUUAGCAUUAUUCCUGCACAUGGAUUCAUUGAAGUUUAAACUUUGUUGUAUUUUAUAAACUAGAUUUUGUAUUUAUUUAUAACUGCUACAAAAUGUUUUGCUUUUUAGAAAUAUAUUAG
rnacentral:lncRNA from 1 species